rfam:Triticum aestivum genome assembly, contig: Triticum_aestivum_CS42_TGACv1_scaffold_472884_6AL
AUUCUACUCCCUACGUUCCGAAUUACUUGUCUUGGAUUUGUCUAGAUACGGAUGUAUCUAGACUCAUUUUAGUGCUAGAUAUCUUCGUAUCUAGAUAAAUCUAAGACAAGUAAUUCGGAACGGAGGAAGUAUGUC